rnacentral:pre_miRNA from 1 species
UUGAAGAAUUUGAAGACUUCAACUUGAAAAUUUAAUUGAUUUGAGACUUUAACUUGCAAACUUGAAGAAUUUAAAGACUUUCAACU